CCCCGAGGAAGCCAGCUGAGAAGGCGAGCCGAGAUCGAUGCCGCGGCUGCCAUUACCCACCAGGUUAAAGACAGACUGCCGGCGUGCUCAUCAAUUUUUAAAGCCCGGGAGCGCAGCCCUGCCGGAUUAGACCCAUCACGCCAGGCAGAUGCUUCCGGGAAAAUGUGACUGGCUUGAAGGCAGGAGCCUCCGCUCUCUACCCUAGCCCCACGCCGUCCCUCCCCCAGGGAUUCAAAGAUAUACUGCCUCUGGAACUGGAGGUUCCAUUUCUUGAACAGACAUCAGUAUGGACGGAUCCUCUGGGGAUGUGUUGAAUGCUUCGUUGUUGUUGUUGUUGUUUUAAAGUCUUCCAGACCAGGGGACAUUGCGACAGUCAUUCAUCCAUUCAUUCAGUUAUUGAUCAUAUCUCUCUACAGUCUGCAGCAUCUAAGGCGCUUUAUGGAGUCCCACAAGAAGAGAAAGACACGCGAGUCUCCACCCCAAUGAGCAGACGAUCAAGAUGAAACAGAGAAAUGGAGAAGCUGAAGAUACAAUGAAGAGGUAGCCGACCAGAUCUCAAUCAGGAGGAUACCUCAGAGCUGCCUUGACACCACCCAAGAAGAUCUCAACUGUCUGAACUUCAGAGCUAUAUCUCAC